GCAAGGAGAAUUCUAGAAGGAUGGAUAACAGAAUGAAGGGGUUGUUAGGGGAAUUGUGGAGGUUACUAACACAUGGAGGGACAGCUGGCAAAAGGGUGAAAAUGAGUAUAAAGAGAAAGAGAGGGUGACGAGGAAGGGCAUCUGUAAAUUCUGAUAUUUUCUCUGGUUAGAGGGGCAGAGUUUUUCUCUGCAUGCGAAUUCUUCCUGGGGGCAGCUGUUACAGCCAUUGUUAUCUUGUUCUUUUACUUUCUUUAAUUUUCCCUGUUGUUUGAAUUCUUUCUUUGGAGAUUGCUAAGUGGGAGAUACAUUCUGUAUUGUGAAAUAUUGAUUGUAAAGUCAUUCUACCAUUCUCAUUUCAAUACAAAUUUCAGUUCCUCAUACACAAAGUCUGAAUUUACAUUUCAAAUUGUUCCUAACUCUUAUCAUAUUUGCAUUUUGCAUAUGUUAUAAUUUAGCUUUUAUCAGACAAUCGACUAUGUUGGCAUCCAUCACACACUUUUCUUACACAUACCAAGUAUCCAUAUGGAAAUUUGGACCAACUGAAUUUUAUCAUUCUGGGUUGUUCUGUUGUUUAUGUGAUUUGUUCAGUUCUCUG
rnacentral:misc_RNA from 1 species